rnacentral:rRNA from 1 species
GGCGCGCCUAACACAUGCAAGUCGAACGGAGCUGAGAGGAGCUUGCUUUUCUCAGCUUAGUGGCGAACGGGUGAGUAACGCGUGAGUAACCUGCCCUGGAGUGGGGGACAACAGUUGGAAACGACUGCUAAUACCGCAUAAGCCCACGAUCCGGCAUCGGAUUGAGGGAAAAGGAUUUAUUCGCUUCAGGAUGGACUCGCGUCCAAUUAGCUAGUUGGUGAGGUAACGGCCCACCAAGGCGACGAUUGGUAGCCGGACUGAGAGGUUGAACGGCCACAUUGGGACUGAGACACGGCCCAGACUCCUACGGGAGGCAGCAGUGGGGGAUAUUGCACAAUGGGGGAAACCCUGAUGCAGCGACGCCGCGUGGAGGAAGAAGGUUUUCGGAUUGUAAACUCCUGUCGUUAGGGACGAUAAUGACGGUACCUAACAAGAAAGCACCGGCUAACUACGUGCCAGCAGCCGCGGUAAAACGUAGGGUGCAAGCGUUGUCCGGAAUUACUGGGUGUAAAGGGAGCGCAGGCGGACCGGCAAGUUGGAAGUGAAAACUAUGGGCUCAACCCAUAAAUUGCUUUCAAAACUGCUGGCCUUGAGUAGUGCAGAGGUAGGUGGAAUUCCCGGUGUAGCGGUGGAAUGCGUAGAUAUCGGGAGGAACACCAGUGGCGAAGGCGACCUACUGGGCACCAACUGACGCUGAGGCUCGAAAGCAUGGGUAGCAAACAGGAUUAGAUACCCUGGUAGUCCAUGCCGUAAACGAUGAUUACUAGGUGUUGGAGGAUUGACCCCUUCAGUGCCGCAGUUAACACAAUAAGUAAUCCACCUGGGGAGUACGACCGCAAGGUUGAAACUCAAAGGAAUUGACGGGGGCCCGCACAAGCAGUGGAGUAUGUGGUUUAAUUCGAAGCAACGCGAAGAACCUUACCAGGUCUUGACAUCCGAUGCAUAGCUUAGAGAUAAGUGAAGUCCUUCGGGACAUCGAGACAGGUGGUGCAUGGUUGUCGUCAGCUCGUGUCGUGAGAUGUUGGGUUAAGUCCCGCAACGAGCGCAACCCUUAUUGCCAGUUACUACGCAAGAGGACUCUGGCGAGACUGCCGUUGACAAAACGGAGGAAGGUGGGGAUGACGUCAAAUCAUCAUGCCCUUUAUGACCUGGGCUACACACGUACUACAAUGGCGUUUAACAAAGAGAAGCAAGACCGCGAGGUGGAGCAAAACUCAAAAACAACGUCUCAGUUCAGAUUGCAGGCUGCAACUCGCCUGCAUGAAGUCGGAAUUGCUAGUAAUCGCGGAUCAGCAUGCCG